rnacentral:rRNA from 1 species
GACGGAGGAUGCAAGCGUUAUCCGGAAUGAUUGGGCGUAAAGCGUCCGCAGGUGGCAGUUCAAGUCUGCUGUCAAAGACCGGGGCUUAACUUCGGAAAGGCAGUGGAAACUGAACAGCUAGAGUAUGGUAGGGGCAGAGGGAAUUCCUGGUGUAGCGGUGAAAUGCGCAGAUAUCAGGAGGAACACCGAUGGCGAAGGCAGGUCUCUGGGCCACUACUGACGCUGAGGAGCGAAGGCCAGGGGAGCAAACGGG